rnacentral:rRNA from 1 species
CAGUCCACGCCGUAAACGAUGAUAACUAGCUGUCCGAACCCACAGGGUUUGGGUGGCGCAGCUAACGCAUUAAGUUAUCCGCCUGGGGAGUACGGUCGCAAGAUUAAAACUCAAAGGAAUUGACGGGGGCCUGCACAAGCGGUGGAGCAUGUGGUUUAAUUCGACGCAACGCGCAGAACCUUACCAGCUUUUGACAUCCUGGUCGCGGAUUUGGGAGACCAUUUCCUUCAGUUCGGCUGGACCAGUGACAGGUGCUGCAUGGCUGUCGUCAGCUCGUGUCGUGAGAUGUUGGGUUAAGUCCCGCAACGAGCGCAACCCUCAUCCUUAGUUGCCAGCAUGUUAUGAUGGGGACUCUAGAGAGACUGCCGGCGUAAGCCGCGAGGAAGGUGGGGAUGACGUCAAAUCAUCAUGGCCUUUAUGCCCUGGGCUACACACGUGCUACAAUGGCCGGUACAGAGGGUAGCGAAACCGCGAGGUGGAGCCAAUCCCAGAAAACCGGUCC